rnacentral:rRNA from 1 species
AGCUCCAAUAGCGUAUAUUAAAGUUGUUGCAGUUAAAAAGCUCGUAGUUGGAUUCCUGGUUAAAGCGGCCGGUCUAGUCCGAAUGGGUUAGUACUUUGAGCUGUCUUUGACCUUCCUUUGAGAGAAUUUGUGUUAUUAUUAAUUUAAUAGUGCAAGGGACCUCAAUCGUUUACUGUGAAAAAAUUAGAGUGUUUAAAGCAGGCAUUUGCUGUGAAUACAUUAGCAUGGAAUAAUAAGAUAGGACUUUGGUGCUAUUUUGUUGGUUUGCACACCAAGGUAAUGAUUAACAGGGACAGUUGGGGGUAUUCGUAUUUAAUUGUCAGAGGUGAAAUUCUUGGAUUUAUGAAAGACGAACUACUGCGAAAGCAUUUACCAAGGAUGUUUUCA